CGGACCUCGUAGUUCCUGGGGAGCGGCCGGCGGCGCGACCUGCCAUUUUGCGCGUUGGCGUGGGGCAUGCCGGGGCUCGUAGUCCCAGAGGAGGACGGCAAGCCUCCAUCUUGUAGCGCCAGGCUGGGAUGGAGGCGACGCGCGGUGCAGGCCCGGCUGCCGCACACGGUCCCGAAGGCAGGCGGCCGCUACAGGCUUGGCCUGAACAGCUGCCGUUGUCAGCUUGCCCGCACACCGGCUUUGCACGAACCUUGCACUGCUAAGAAACAUUCCCAGAGAAGCGUGCGCAAAAGCACCUUGUGCCUAAGGAAUCUUCCAUCCCAGGGCACCGUGCCAGGCAGGAAUGCUUUUCUCCGUGUUUCGGCCUACGCUACAAGCGGAGCAUUACGAAGCCGACCCUCCGCCGGAGGCAGCCUUGCACGCGCAGCCAGCAGCGGCAGGGCGCAGCUCGCGCGAGCUGGGCUGCCUCUGCCCGGGCUCCAGGUGUGCGCUCAGUGCCCGAGACCGUGUGAAAUCGCGGCUGGUCGCGGGAUCCUCACGCCUCAGAGGCUGCAGGAUCGCCUUUCCUAUCGCUGCAGUUUUGCUAGAGCAGAAUUUGGCUGGCUGCCUCCUGUCUCAAGUUUAAUCGCCCAGGCAAGGCGCAGCUGCCUUGGACUGG
rnacentral:lncRNA from 1 species